AGAGUUUGAUCCUGGCUCAGAACGAACGCUGGCGGCAGGCCUAACACAUGCAAGUCGANCGCCACCUUCGGGUGAGANCGGCGGACGGGUUAGUAACGCGUGGGAACAUACCCUUUUCUAAGAGAAUAGCCACUGGAAACGGUGAGUAAUACCUUAUACGCCCUUCGGGGAGAAAGAUUUAUCGGAGAAAGAUUNGGCCCGCGUUAGAUUAGAUAGUUGGUGGGGUAACGGCCUACCAAGUCUACGAUCUAUAGCUGGUUUGAGANGAUGAUCAGCAACACUGGGACUGAGACACGGCCCAGACUCCUACGGGAGGGCAGCAGUGGGGAAUCUUAGACAAUGGGCGCAAGCCUGAUCUAGCCAUGCCGCGUGAGUGAUGAAGGGCUUAGGGUCGUAAAGCUCUUUCGCCAGAGAUGAUAAUGACAGUAUCUGGUAAAGAACCCCGGCUAAC
rnacentral:rRNA from 1 species